GAUGAACGCUGGCGGCGUGCCUAAUACAUGCAAGUCGAGCGAACAGACGAGGAGCUUGCUCCUCUGACGUUAGCGGCGGACGGGUGAGUAACACGUGGAUAACCUACCUAUAAGACUGGGAUAACUUCGGGAAACCGGAGCUAAUACCGGAUAAUAUAUUGAACCGCAUGGUUCAAUAGUGAAAGACGGUUUUGCUGUCACUUAUAGAUGGAUCCGCGCCGCAUUAGCUAGUUGGUAAGGUAACGGCUUACCAAGGCAACGAUGCGUAGCCGACCUGAGAGGGUGAUCGGCCACGAUGGAGCUAAGGCACGGACCAGACUCCAACGGGAGGCAACAGUAGGGAAUCUUCCACAAUGGGCGAAAGCCUGACGGAGCAAGGCCGCGUGAGUGAUGAAGGUCGUCGGAUCGUAAAACUCUGUUAUUAGGGAAGAACAAAUGUAAGUAACUAUGCACGUCUUGACGGUACCUAAUCAGGAAGCCACGGCUAACUACGUG
rnacentral:rRNA from 1 species